ACCAGUUCUUUUGUUGUCUGUGGCUCUGGAGCCUCUGACUGCACUCCACCCCCUCUCCUUUCCAGCUUCCUUUAGCCCCUUCUCCACUUUCUCCUACUUUUCUAUUGUCUUUUGCCGAAGAGAGGACCACGUGUCUCUUUCUCCUGGAGCGACUUCUGCUCUGCCUGCUUCCUAGGAUUCUUUAACCAUCUUCCAGCUUGAUACUUCCUUUAGGACAGAAAACAAAGUCUUAUUUUGCAUCAAAGUCAAAGCUGAUAUUGGAAAGUAUAGGUACUCCUCUGUAAUUGCAGAUCUAAGCUGAAGUCCAAAAAGAAGCAAGACUCCUUCCAUUCCAGAACUACCUCCCACAGCCUCCUGCCUUCCGUGGUCAGAGUCAGCAGCCUCCGAAGGGGGUCAGAGGUAAUGCGGGGGCUUAAGUAUUCACGCUCUCUCACAAGCAAAGCACACCUCCUACUACUGAGAUGUAAGUAUUCACUCGAAGGCCGAGUGGUAGAAGAUUCACUGGGCCUCUUGCCCUCAGCACACAGCGCCUUGCCUUCUGGUGUGUACACACCCUGAGGAAUAUGCUUUAGUUUGGACCCAGGAAAGUGAGAUUCUUCCCUAACCAUACUAAAAUCCCCUGCUUUUGUGUGAGAGCCUUUCUCAGAGGCCUGGUGCCCUGGGGCCUGGAUGGGAGAGGUGGGGCUUCUCUGUCAGGUCAGAACAGGCCCAGGAAGAAGAAAGUAUUCCAAACAAGGCAGACCAGCCCUUCCCACCCAGUCUGCAUGUCUCUGCUUAGAGCAGCCUUUUAUGAGGCUUAACCUGAGCAGCAGACAUGCCUGAACACAGCAAAGAAGAGGCCAGGGCAGUCCCUGUAAAGUUCCUGCUGGCUGGGCAUUUUCUUUGGAGCAGGGACAAAGUCCAUAGGUACUACAUGGCCUCCCAAUGUAGCUCAAUCUCUGAAAGCGAGUAUACACUCUGCUCCCUCUCCUGAUCCCUACCCCAGGCUUCCAGGAGAAGCCAUUUAUGGAUUCUGUGCAGACCUGGGAAAGGUGUCGGCCGCUGGAGGCUGAUUUUCCCAGACAAGUCUGUGGGAAGAGGACUAAGAGCUCUUUCUUCCACCAUCCACCGCCCCAUAAAUGGCCCUGUUCCUGCAGAGUCCCUGUCCUUCCUCCAUUCCUCCUCAGCCCAUCCUGCUCAUACCAGCACACAGGCCUGGACUGGGCUGCUCAUGCUCUCACCCAGUGGCUUUUUCAGAAGAACACCUGCGUUUCACCCUGUGGUAAGCAAUGGCAGAGCACCUGCUUUCCCUAGACAUCACGAAACACACCUAGCUCUGAUAUGGCUUACGCACUGAGGAGGACAGCCCACAUCCUACGUAGGUAUACAGUGAGGAGACUGCACUUGGAUGUAUGCCUUUAUUGGCAAGAAACAUCCCAGAGUCCAGCUCCAUGACACUGGCUGUUCCACCGAGCACAGUCUAGCUCUGAGGUUGGAGCAAGGAUGCCUGCCUGGGGAGGGUUUUCAGGUCCUCCCCGUCCUAUGAGAGUAUGGCUGCAGAUCCUGCAGCUCUCGUCCAGAUCACACACAGCACUACAAGAGGAAACCUGGUAGACUAACAGCCCCAGACGAUCCAUGGGUCCUCUUGUCCUUCAUUCCACCGGAGUCUGUCUUAUGCCAACCAGAUUUCAGUGGAGUGAAGCUCAGGAGGCAUGGAGCUGCCAGCAGUGGACCAAAGCACAGCAUCUGAACACAGGCAUUCUGUGAAAAUCCAGUCACCAGGGUAUCUACAGCGAGCCCUUCUGCAAAGGCGUGCAGACACAGAAACACUGCCGAUGAGAGCUGUAUGGCCUCUCUUCCGAAACCUGCAAACAUUAAACAUUGCCACCUGCUGACCAGCCUUCCUGCAUCCAUGGCCUGUGCUGUCCAUCUCCCAGGUCUGCUCCCCUGCUGGCUCAAGUCCCACACAGGAGCUCAAGGAGUCUGCCAGCUCCCUGACUCCCUCUCUCUCUAGGGUUUCUGGGCUGGUAGGUGAAACUGUUUGCAACCAUCUAGGGACCCUGUUGCCCUCUGAUGCUCCACAGUGCCAGAGAGACCUGCAGAACUGGGGAGGAAAUCUCUAUUAAAAUUAUUUAAGUCUAUUUAUAUUGUAAUAAAAUAAAUGUAAAAAAGACUUAAAUGAAGGCAGAUUCAGAUCUUUCUGACACUCUGCAGGAUAUAACUCAGCAGGAAGUGUAAAUUCCAUAAAGGUUAAUGCAUUUAAACAUAUUUGACCCAUAAAGCUGCCAGAUCCGACUUUAAUCACUCACCAAGUGUAAUUGCCUUUCCAUGGUCCCUCUGCACUUAGGCUCUGUAGAAAUCUGGCGUGGGACAGGGACAAAUAUUUCUUGGUUGUCAUGGUCUAUGAUUUGCUUUGAUAGAUUUGGCACUGAAUUCAUUGGCUGUGCACCCUGAGUGACUGUUGUUUUGUUUUUAAACACCACAUCUCUCCUUCAGGGAAGAAGAUGUAUGGUUGUGGCAGGAGGCAGAAGUCCAAAAGAAGUCCUUUAGUCUGAAGGCUCUGCCCAGAGAAAGCCGCCUUCUUCAGUGGAGGGGUCUGCCCGAGGAGCCACCCUGGCUAGAAACAAAGGCAGACACUAAACAAAGCCCACCUCUGCAAGACACCCUGUGUGGCCAGGCUCAGAAGAGCCCACACUGCAGGUUUUCCUAGGAACUGGGCACGCAGACCACUUUGGUAUCCUUGACCCUGAGUCCUGGGCCACUGAAUGCCCCAAGUGGCCUCUUCACCUCCCCAGAAACACAUGACCCAGGGAAUCAUGAGGGCCUCCCACUGAAUAUAGGAAAAAGCAUUUAUCUGUAAUGUCUUCUCCUCCUGCUUCUGUUAACAUGAAUGUCAAACUCAGCCCAUCCCCCACACCUCUGCAUACUGAGUCCCACAAAGGGGUGAGGAGACCAGGCCACAGGCACUUAGAAAUGAGACAUGUUUACUCAUAAAAAUUACAUAGUGGAUCUGACUGAGGGACCAUGUUGGUCUGGGUACUGAGCUAGCUAACUAGUAAACGCCUUCUGUCCUGAGCUCCACAAGAAAUUCAUAGGCUAGAACAAAGAAAGCACCAGGCAGACAUGAUGCGAUAUUUCCAUGGGUGGUGUUGCUUGAACUCCAUAACCUGGGUUCUUUUCUAGAGAAGGAAACAUGGCUGUGUGUUUCUAUGUAACCAAGCUCAGGAAGGGACAAGAACCAAAGCGGCCAGUGAUGACUAGAGAAGACUGCAGAGCCAUCUAGGGCAUGAAGCUGCAAGGUCUCUGCCCCAACACCCUGAACACCACUCCAGCCCCAUGUCACGUUUCAGCUGAGACACAGGGCACUGCGUGCCUGGCGCCGAGGUCUGAAACAUCCUCCCUCUGGCAGCACAGAUUGCUGGUCCCCUGUGCAGAAGCACAAGCCCCUGCUCUUAGCCCAGAGCAGCUUCCAGAGAAGCAGUGUGAGCCGAGAACUGGAGAGAACUGCCCGUCCACCUCCCCUCCAGGCCCCUGACCUUCUGUGUCUCCUGUCCUGCCUGCAAAGUAUGGCUCAGCACAAACUAUUGAGGAAACAGUUUAAUCACAACACCCUUGAAACAGCAGCAGCAAAAAAAUAAUAUCACCCAGCAUUCUGUAUUCACGAUCUUUUAGCGAGGGGAAAAGCAAAUAUCAUUGAGCCAAACCCAAGUAGACAAAUAUAUACAACCACUGGUAAUUUAAUAUUUUGUGCUAAUGGCGAACCCUGUAGAUACAACCCAAGAGAAGUAAAUUACAAUCCUAUCAAUAAUACAUUGUGUCUGGGCUCUGGGUUCCCAGCACACAUGAAAAUGUGUAUUGGCAAAAACUCCGUGAAUAUUAAAAGCUGUGCAUAUAAUGAGGUGCAGGACACAGGAGCUGGGGACUCCCUUAGCACCGCGUCCUGGACAUCCAGGUUUUCAAUGGCGGGAACAGGCCAUGCCGCCACCUCUGCAGCCGGCACUAAAGGAAGAUACCCAGCACACCCUCAGCAGAUCACCAGCUCAGAGAUAACCUGCCAGCUUGCAGGACCCACUGUUUUCUUUGUUGUUGCUGUUCUAUUUGCUUGUUUUAAGCCACGGAGGUCUCCAGUGUCAGCUGUGAGGCUAGAACAGCUCCAGAGAGCCCCAGGACAAACAGUACCAUUCCAGAGAAAGACCACAGGCUAUCCUUUUCCUGACCUGCCUGGGAUGAGCAGGAGGUUUAGAACUGCGAAUGUUCCAGCCACGGCAGCUCGGCAGCUCAUCCAAAUCCCAGCUCUGCUGCUUGCAGAAGCAUGUGACAGUCUUGCUUCAGAACGGGAGAGUAUUUCUGCCAUACUAACAUGAAAAACGAGGACGAAUUAGGCUAAUGAUGCAGGAACUCUUGUUGCUGCCACUGUCACAUACUGGUCUCUGACCUUCCCUGAUUCAAAGAAUAGUGAGAGACUUCUUCUUCUUCUUCUUCUUCUUCUUCUUCUUCUUCUUCUUCUUCUUCUUCUCUCUCUCUCUCUCUCUCUCUCUCUCUCUCUCUCUUAAAAUCAGACUCUGAAAGGAGUGCAUAGGAAAGGAGGGAGGCUGUGAGGGACUCUGAAGAAGAAUGCUGCCACAGUCUCCACUCAGAGAUGAAAGGGACUGGUCAGACACACACUAGCUCCCUAACAGAAACAGAAGCUUCCUGAAUCGUGGUGAUUUCUCGGGCUUUCUGGACAGAGCCAACAAUGCGUCAAAGAAGAAGAAGGUGGCAAACAGCUCCUUUUGUCUGGAGAUAACAAGCGGCAUCCUCAUCUUCCCCACCCCCCUCCUCCAUCCCUACCUUCCAUCUCUCCAAGUUUUCCAUGCUGGUUGUCAGAUUCCGGGGGAGGGUGGGACACCUGGUGGGAAACGGGGAAAUUACAUCGGGGAACCCUCUGAGGUGAGAGAAGCCCCAUAGAGAGGUACAGGCACCCUGGCGCUGACGCAACACUGAAAAACUUUGGCAGAAAGUGACUUCAGUGUUGCUGUGUUCACCUGUAUCUGAGACAUAGGUAGCUAAGAAUAACUGUAGUAAGCACGUAGAUAAACACAUACAUGGGUGAUGAAACAAAUACAUGGCUGCCUCAUCAUGUUGAAAGCAGGUGCUACUCAAAGGACUCACCAAGCUGGAGAUCUGGGAAGAGUCCCCACCAAAGCAAUGGUGGUAGCCAGCAGCCGCCCAAAAGCCUCUGAGUCAGCAUGUGUGUAGUUAACAGGGGUCAGAUUAGAUCUGGUGCCAACUUGAUCUGGCCACCAGACUCUGGGCCAGCCACUUAACCUCUCUGAGCCCUAAUUUCCUUAUCUGUCAAGCAGGAAUAACGACACUAAUGUCAAGGGCUUCUGAAGAGCCAGACGCUGCAUGCUUCCUGACUACAGAAUAAUUUAAUGCUCCCAGCCAUUAGCAGAUGCAAUUGACAUUUCAGGUGAUUAGGUGACAGAGGGUGAGGGACCAGCCUGUAAACAGUGGAGCUGGGAGGCAGGCCUGGCUCUCUGCUCUGGAGUUGGCACUGGGACCUUCACCCCAUCCCCUCAGUUCCUGCUGGUGUGAGGGCCAGACAAUAUGCUGGGGUUUGGAUCUAGAGCAUCCCCACAGGCCAGAGGACAAAUGUGAUCCUCAGCUUCUAGCCUGCAGAAGAUGCUACAAUUUUUCAGGAUGAGGCCUAAUAACGGAAAUUCAGGCAGCUAGAGGCUAGACCCUGCAUUCUACCUCCCCAUUUCCUGGCUCUUCUAAAGUAGGUGGCUUUGUCCCACUGCACCCUCCUCCCUUCACCACAAGCUACAGAACAAGGAAGCAGUGACAAUGGAGUGAACCCCUCUGAAACCAUUUCCCCGUUUUAGGUUGAUUUUCUCCAGCUUUUUAUCUCAAUGAUGGAAGGCUGGCAUAGAGGAUUAACACACACAGAAGAGCCAGCAAGUAUCUGCAGAGUCUUCACACCCAAGAAGGCUAUUCCCUACUUUCAUCUCAGUAUCAAGCAAAAAGGCCUUGGAUAAGCUUCUCUAGCACCUCUCCAUCACCUGGUUCCCCACUCUUACAUGGAACAGUUAACAGAGGCACCCCACUGGAGCCCCAGCUGCUUUGGGACACCAUGAGCUCAGCGUGAUGUGCCCACUGACCCCCUGAACUGUCCGAGCCUGUGAUUAUCUGAAGGAAACCACACAAAACUGCUGCACUACUUUCUAUCAAUUAUUUAUAGAUACUUAAUAGUUGCUAGAGUUGGGAGCUCAUGGGAUCUCACCCCUUGGCAAGAGUUUACAGGCAGGUAAGAGCUUAUGGAGGAGAGAUGUUGCCCAUGCUUCUGGAAGUAACUCUAUAAAUUCCCUGGUCUCCAGGCUGCACUGGGCUGGAAUCAUUUCUGAUUUCAGCCUAAACCACUUGAGAGUUUUUAUUAUGUUUUUUUUUUUUUUCAAAAUAAACAUUAUAAAAAUAAAAAAUUAACAAUAUCCUUUCCAGGGUGAAAGCUAAUUAAAUUUCCAUACCACUUCUUUUGGAACAAGUGAAAAUACUGGGAAAAAGGAAAUUUUGCAGGGCCAGAGUUAAAAGCACGUAGUGCUAUUGCAAAGGAUUCAGGCUUAGUUCCCAGCACAUAUAUGGUAGCUUACAACCAUCUGUGAUUUCAUUUCCUGGGGAUGCAGUGCCCACUUUUAACUUCCACAAUAAUCAAGUGUUCACAUGCACACACAGGCAAAACAUUUAUAUACAUAAAAUAUAAAUAAACAAAUCUCUUUAAAAAUAAACUUCAGGUGAUGAGCAAGUAAAAAAAAUAAGUUUUGAGCACACAAGAAUGAUCAAGAAAAAUGAUGAAGAGAUGAGAUAGCAAUUGAAAUUAAGGAGGGAUAGUGUUGACGCUGUUGGUGUUGAUGCUAUUGGUGCUGAUGCCGUUGGUGCUGAUGCCGUUGGUGCUGAUGCCGUUGAUGCUGUUGGUGCUGAUGCUGUUGGUGUUGAUGCUGAUGCUGUUGGUGCUGAUGAUGUUGGUGCUGAUGCUGUUGGUGCUGAUGCUGUUGAUGCUGUUGGUGCUGAUGCUGUUGGUGCUGAUGCUGUUGAUGCUGUUGGUGCUGAUGCUGUUGAUGCUGUUGGUGCUGAUGCUGUUGGUGCUGAUGCUGUUGGUGUUGAUGCUGUUGGUGCUGAUGCUGUUGGUGCUGAUGCUGUUGAUGCUGAUGCUGUUGAUGCUGAUGCUGUUGGUGCUGAUGCUGUUGGUGCUGUUGGUGCUGAUGCUGUUGGUGUUGAUGCUGACCUCCUCACUUCAGCAUUCUUUAAGAUAAUAUAUAAGUCUGGUAUCUAACCUCUUGCUUGAGUUAUGUACUUGUUUGUUUAGUGAACUCCUGUGUGAAGCUAUUAAACCUUUUUGUUCCUCCUGAAGAGCAAUGUGCCCAGCAGAUCUGUGACAAAGGAUCAGCUUCACUGAAGAGACAUGGAUUCUUUAAAAAGGUUUUCAGUGGCUGGUGGCUCUAACAGCAGCAGUUCAUGUAGUUUGUUUCCAAGACCUUCCAGAGGGGCCAGCAGGACAACACUUGGUUCCUCAUUACCCACAUAUCUCUUCCAGGAGCAUAAAUGUCCAGCUGAUGUAGCAUGUGGGAGCUGUGGCUAGUAAGAGUUCUGUAUGCCAGGACAUACCCAACUGAAGAAUGAAAAAAACAGCCAAAGGCAAAACUACGACAUUUACAGCAGAGCUGAUUUUCCGACUGCCUGACUCCCACAUCACUGUCUGUGAAGAAGGAUGGAUGCUUGAAUGAAGACAGUGCCCCUUUUAUAGCAGAACUGUAUCAAUUGCAUUUCAUUACUGCUCCAUUACAGCACAUUGUAUUAUAAUCCAACUGCUAAUAGCCUCACCUCAGAUGCUCACAUCACUCCCCUUUGUCCUCCUUGAAGGCCUGGCUUUAACCCAAGUUGCUUUAUCUGUUGCAAUUAGAUACAGGCUCCUGCCCUGAGUCAAGCCUAUGCCAGCAAUGGCAGCAACUUAACUACACCCACCACAAGGGGCUUGACAGGUGACUGUGCCAUCCAAAAGCUGAUUCUGAAUAUUGCCAUGCCCCAGAUGGUAGUAUGUACCUGCUACCUGCCUGAGAAUUUUGUAAAAUGCAGACUCUGACUCAGAAGAAGCAGGGCAGGGCCUGAGGACAAGCAUUUUAACAUCAGUUUCUAAGUGAUGCUUCUCAGUAUAAUAAAAACAAGUGUGGUGAGAAUUAUGAACUUUGGUUUUAAAAGAAAUACAAAACUAUUAUGGGAAUAUGUUUUCUUUUAAUCCCAGGUGUGGGGAUAUGGGGCUGCUUCACAGCAGAUGACUAUGAUUUGACUUGUGCUCUAGCAGAGGUGUGCUUAUUCUAGCUGCAGAUAGUUUCCACAAGUGUGUGAUGUUUGGAAUUCUGGGAACUUUUCAGAGGGUAUAUAAAUGCUAAAACCAUGAGAGGUGAGCUGUUGUUGGCUGGUUGGUGGUUGGAUGCCGUUGGUGUUGGCUGCAGUUUGUCAAGCAGUUGUGUGCAAACAAACAAAGAGAAGAAAUUUGAUAUCCUGAUGUUGAAGGUCAAACUUGCCCCAAGGAGCCUGACACCCCUAAUCACAGGAAAUAGUCUAAUGAUAACGUUGCCCCUUUCCUCUCCAUCCUUUCUUCUCUCCUACCUAGUGUUAGGGGCUAAGAAGAAUGGAAGAGAGAAAAAGGAACCCACAAAGUAGCAAAUGCUGGCUACAAACAAGAGCUCUUUGGGCUCAAAGCCAGGGUCAGGGACACCACUCAGGGUAAAGGCAUCUACCACCAAGCCUGAUGAUGUGAGUUCAAACCCCACCAAGCUAGAGAGAACUGACUCCUGAACGUUGUUCUCUGACCCCCUCAAGUCUACAUAAAUAAAUUAAAUUGAUGCAUUUUUUUUAAGUUUUUAAGACUCAAAACCAUUUCUCAUUCACUUCUCUGAGAGUAGUGGAGGGCAGCAAUGCACCCCACAUAGGCCAAUGACAAAGGGAUCAUUUUGAGUUGAAAGCAGCUGAUAAAGAUUAGGUGUGGGAGAAACGCUCCCCAUCCCAUAAAUUUCUAAAAACUAGACCUAAGUUUCUCUUUCUAAGAUAACAGAAAAUUCCACUUAUAAAAGCAUCUCCUUCUCUGUUCUAGGAAGAGAGUCAUUCCAGCGAUGACCCCUUAUCUACACUAAAGAACAGCAUUUACUAAUUCCAUACAUACUCGCAGCCUUCCUGUACCACUUCCCCUGCAGGAGCCCACCCAGCCUCCUUUCUGCACAUCAGCACCCUUUGUUAAGAUGAUACAUAGGCCUGGGAUCUAAUCUCUGCUUGAGUGAACUCCUGUGUGGACCUGUUUUAUAAAUCUGAUUUUCAUCCUGAUAAUUUGCUUUUUAUCACUCCCAUUUACAGGUCCCUCCCACUGACCCUGAGAGGGAGGAGGACACAGCAAGAUGAGGAACAACAGCACCAGGGAAACAGAAGCAAGACUGUGAGGUCAGAUCCAAGAGAUGCAAAGUACCAGAUCUCAACAGAGUAGAGGUGUCCCACCCACACAGGCAUCUGUGGAGGAUGCCACAGGGCAGAAUCAUCACUGAACCAGACACUUCUUGGAAGAAAGGCACACUGUGACCACAAGUUAGAACAUACUAGGUCAACAGCUAAAAACAGAGAAUGAAGAGCAAGAAGACACACUUCCCAGAAGACCAAAGCUCAGGGAGCCAGGCAGGUUGGUGGGCAAAGGGCAUCAGUCACAAAUCACCAUAGGACUAUGAAAUGACCUUGCUAAAGGCAAAUGUGUGCCUCAGUCAGGAGGACCUCGGUUUCUCUACCAGGACUCGGAUAUCUGGAUAGGAUAUGAGAAAUGUUGCAGGGCAGACACUAACAGCAGACUCUAACACAGAAUACAUCUGACCCACGUUCUUUUCAUCAGAGGAUGCACCUAAGAAUUAGUCAUUAUCAAGAAGACAUGGACCUGACCUUGCUUUGAGCACAACACAGUCACACCCAGAUGAAGAGGGCCAAGAGUGCCCACCCCAGUCUUAUACCUUCCCUCUCUGUCCUGAAGCCAAGUGCCCUGUCAGUAGCCACAUCCCAUGUUCCAAACGAACUGUCAGGUUCUCUGCCAGAUUUUUUAUGUAUAAUUAAAAGGUUUGCAAGAAGAUGAUGUUAUGAAACUAUCUGCUACUAUUUCUUAAUGGUGGGUGACAAGAACUGAACCACCAUUCCUUAAUUACAGAAGACAGAUGAGGAGUAUAGAAAGAAAGAAAGAAAGAAAGAAAGAAAGAAGGAAGGAAGGAAGGAAGGAAGGAAGGAAGGAAGGAAGGAAGGAAGGAAGGGAGAGGGAAAAAUAGAAGAAAAACCCCUCAAAGCCUGACAAGGUACCAAAGGGUUAAUCACCCAGGCUGAAUCUGAACAUUUCUGAACACAGACCUUCCUCCCUUUGGCACAGUUUUAUAAACUGUAUGUUCUUUUGUGUUGCUUUAU